AUUCCAGCUCCAAGAGCGUAUAUUAAAGUUGUUGCAGUUAAAAAGCUCGUAGUUGGAUUUCUGGUACAAUGCGCCUGGCCCGCGACCGUCAGGUCUGUGAGUGCCGGUGCGCGUUUGCCAUCCUUCUAGAAAACGUUUCUACCCUUCACUGGGCCGGAUUCGCGAUCUAGAUCUUUUACUUUGAAAAAAUUAGAGUGUUUAAAGCAGGCUUUUGCUAUGAAUACAUUAGCAUGGAAUAAUAAUCUAGGACUUCGGUUCUAUUUUGUUGGUUUCUAGUACUGAAGUAAUGAUUGAUAGGGAUAGUUGGGGGUGCUAGUAUUGGCCGGCCAGAGGUGAAAUUCUUGGAUUCGGUCAAGACUAACUUAUGCGAAAGCAUUCACCAAGGAUGUCUUCAUCG
rnacentral:rRNA from 1 species